AGUCGAAUUUCUGGGGCAUAUGGUAACUCUGCCUAACCAUUUGAGGUACUGCCAAAUUGUUUUUCAAAGUGGCUACACCAUUUUUACAUUCUCACUAGCAAU
rnacentral:pre_miRNA from 1 species